UACGAAGGGGGCUAGCGUUGCUCGGAAUCACUGGGCGUAAAGCGCACGUAGGCGGAUUGUUAAGUCAGGGGUGAAAUCCUGGAGCUCAACUCCAGAACUGCCUUUGAUACUGGCGAUCUCGAGUCCGGGAGAGGUGAGUGGAACUGCGAGUGUAGAGGUGAAAUUCGUAGAUAUUCGCAAGAACACCAGUGGCGAAGGCGGCUCACUGGCCCGGUACUGACGCUGAGGCGCGAAGGCGUGGGGAGCGAACGGG
rnacentral:rRNA from 1 species